GACGAACGCUGGCGGCGUGCCUAAUACAUGCAAGUCGAACGAGAGCGACCGGUGCUUGCACUGGUCAAUCUAGUGGCGAACGGGUGAGUAACACGUGGGUAACCUGCCCAUCAGAGGGGGAUAACAUCCGGAAACGGAUGCUAAAACCGCAUAAGUCUUCGAACCGCAUGGUUUGAAGGUGAAAAGAGGCGCAAGCUUCUGCUGAUGGAUGGACCCGCGGUGCAUUAGCUAGUUGGUGAGGUAACGGCUCACCAAGGCCGUGAUGCAUAGCCGACCUGAGAGGGUGAUCGGCCACAUUGGGACUGAGACACGGCCCAAACUCCUACGGGAGGCAGCAGUAGGGAAUCUUCCGCAAUGGACGCAAGUCUGACGGAGCAACGCCGCGUGAGUGAAGAAGGUGUUCGGAUCGUAAAACUCUGUUGUUAGAGAAGAACAAGUGCUAGAGUAACUGUUAGCGCCUUGACGGUAUCUAACCAGAAAGCCACGGCUAACUACGUG
rnacentral:rRNA from 1 species